rnacentral:rRNA from 1 species
UACAGAGGGUGCAAGCGUUAUUCGGAAUUAUUGGGCGUAAAGAGCACGUAGGCGGUUUAAUAAGUUUGCUGUGAAAACCCACGACUCAAUCGUGGAAGUGCAGUGAAUACUGUUAGACUAGAGUACUGGAGAGGAGAACGGAAUUCCUGGUGUAGAGGUGAAAUUCGUAGAUAUCAGGAGGAACAACGGAGGCGAAGGCGGUUCUCUGGACAGUAACUGACGCUGAGGUGCGAAAGCGUGGGGAGCGAACAGG